UCCUGAAAAUAACUUUAUAGGAUAUAUAGUUUUCUUAAAAGUAAAAUUUCUGUAUGUCAGAUUUUCUUUUCCAUAAUAGAAUAGACUUGUUUUCUGACAAAUGUAUUUUGGCCCCCUAAAGCACAAUAAAGACUACACAACAUAACAAACUCACAAAUAUGUAUGUUAUUUAAAUAUAAGUGUUUCUUUUCCUGCUAAAGCAUAUGUGACUCUGAAAAGAGAUAGCAUCAAUACAGCCCUGCAACUAAAAAUACCACAAAUCAGAAACAACGUUCUUCUCUUCUUGAUCCACUGAAGAGAGGCUGUGUUCUGUGUGCUGUCUGUUUCCUUAAACUCAUUCUUGGGUUUUAUCUCAGUUCCAAGACAUGGAAAAGGAGGUCUAAAAGGAAAUGACCUGCUCAAAGUCAUACAUCAACUGAGUCCAGAGCUGAAUCUGGACUUGGGCUUCUUGUCUUUAUUCUACUGGCUUUCCAUCGUCCCAGGGAAGACACCCUAGAGGAGUGCCCCUAGAAGUAAGUGCUAAUAAUUUCCCACAAAAAUCUGGCACAUUCACACAUACUAAAUGUGGGGUUUUGAUUUAAAUGUUUGGCUGUUGUAAAAGCUAUCAAGUUCAGCCAACUUGAUCUCCUGCUUGUUGGUGGACUAUCCAGUGAAUUACUCAGGCCUGAACCUGAGCCUGAGG
rnacentral:lncRNA from 1 species